rnacentral:rRNA from 1 species
AGCGAACGCUGGCGGCAGGCCUAACACAUGCAAGUCGAACGAAGUCUUCGGACUUAGUGGCGGACGGGUGAGUAACACGUGGGAACGUACCCUUUGGUUCGGAACAACUCAGGGAAACUUGAGCUAAUACCGGAUGAGCCCUUAGGGGGAAAGAUUUAUCGCCGAAAGAGCGGCCCGCGUUAGAUUAGCUAGUUGGUGAGGUAAAGGCUCACCAAGGCUACGAUCUAUAGCUGGUCUGAGAGGAUGAUCAGCCACACUGGGACUGAGACACGGCCCAGACUCCUACGGGAGGCAGCAGUGGGGAAUCUUGCGCAAUGGGCGAAAGCCUGACGCAGCCAUGCCGCGUGAAUGAUGAAGGUCUUAGGAUUGUAAAAUUCUCUUACCAGGGACGAUAAUGACGGUACCUGGAGAAAAAGCCCCGGCUAGCUUCGUGCCAGCCGCCGCCGUAAGAC